rnacentral:rRNA from 1 species
GGGGCAACCCCUCUGAGAGUGGCGAACGGGUGAGUAAUAUAUCGGAACGUGCCCAGUCGUGGGGGAUAACGUAGCGAAAGUUACGCUAAUACCGCAUACGAUCUAAGGAUGAAAGCGGGGGAUCGCAAGACCUCGCGCGACUGGAGCGGCCGAUAUCAGAUUAGGUAGUUGGUAGGGUAAAGGCCUACCAAGCCAACGAUCUGUAGCUGGUCUGAGAGGACGACCAGCCACACUGGAACUGAGACACGGUCCAGACUCCUACGGGAGGCAGCAGUGGGGAAUUUUGGACAAUGGGCGAAAGCCUGAUCCAGCCAUUCCGCGUGCAGGAUGAAGGCCCUCGGGUUGUAAACUGCUUUUGUACAGAACGAAAAGGUUUCUAUUAAUACUAGGAGCUCAUGACGGUACUGUAAGAAUAAGCACCGGCUAACUACGUGCCAGCAGCCGCGGUAAUACGUAGGGUGCAAGCGUUAAUCGGAAUUACUGGGCGUAAAGCGUGCGCAGGCGGUUAUAUAAGUCAGAUGUGAAAUCCCCGGGCUCAACCUGGGAACUGCAUUUGAGACUGUAUAGCUAGAGUACGGUAGAGGGGGAUGGAAUUCCGCGUGUAGCAGUGAAAUGCGUAGAUAUGCGGAGGAACACCGAUGGCGAAGGCAAUCCCCUGGACCUGUACUGACGCUCAUGCACGAAAGCGUGGGGAGCAAACAGGAUUAGAUACCCUGGUAGUCCACGCCCUAAACGAUGUCAACUGGUUGUUGGGUCUUUACUGACUCAGUAACGAAGCUAACGCGUGAAGUUGACCGCCUGGGGAGUACGGCCGCAAGGU